rnacentral:rRNA from 1 species
AGUGAACGCUGGCGGCAGGCCUAACACAUGCAAGUCGAACGGCAGCACGGCAGUAGCAAUACUGUGGGUGGCGAGUGGCGGACGGGUGAGGAAUACAUCGGGAUCUACCCUGUUGUGGGGGAUAACGUAGGGAAACUUACGCUAAUACCGCAUAAGAACUGAGGUUGAAAGCGGCGGACCGCAAGGCGUCGCGCGAUUGGAUGAACCGAUGUCCGAUUAGCUAGUUGGCGGGGUAAAGGCCCACCAAGGCGACGAUCGGUAGCUGGUCUGAGAGGACGACCAGCCACACUGGAACUGAGACACGGUCCAGACUCCUACGGGAGGCAGCAGUGGGGAAUAUUGGACAAUGGGCGCAAGCCUGAUCCAGCCAUGCCGCGUGGGUGAAGAAGGCCUCGGUUGUAA